UUUACCCCCAUAGAUGUGGUGCCAGCACGCACCUACGAACAUGGGCCCAAGUGAAAAAUAAAUAUAAAAACAUAAUUCAAUGUGGUAAGUUGUAAGCAUCCAUUUUAAUAAUUUCAGGUGAAUCUAGCCUAUGAUUUGCAUUGGCCUAGGAUCCAACCUUUAAUCUCAUGUUGAUUACCUGUAGCAAAUAAAAAGAAAACAAAAAUUAAUACGACUGGGAGGGGGACCGCUCCACCGCCCUUCACCAUCUCGGAGGAGUUGGCUCUUGCCAACAACAAAGGUCGGCCAAUGAUGGUAGGAGUGGAUGGGGGGAUGUCGUCUGACCCCACUGCCUCGACAUCGAACCCGUUUGUAACGAUUGAAGGUACAAACAUUGUUUUGGAGAAGCCGCCGACAAUUAAUCUCCAAUCAGAGGAAACACUGUCGGCCUGUGACUCCAGGGCGACUAUGGAGAGGGAAAUGGCAUUGGAUGAGCCAUCCACCUCAACCUCAACCUCCUCAAGGCCUUCUCGAGGGACAGACAAG